GUGGACUCAGCCCCCUUGUCUGGUGCGGUUCUCGCUGCCUGCCCUUUCCUUUCUUGUUUUCCACACAUUUCACACAAUAGUAUUUCUAUUGAUUUUGUGUUUAGCAGGAAAAUUUUUAUCAGCUCAAGUUUUUAAAAUUAAAAACAGUAUACAUGUAAAUAUUCCUAAGUUUGUGAGCUAAAAGGAAAUGUUUAUUUUGUAAAAAAUUAGCCAUUUAGAAUUUCUACAUUUGGUUACAGCUUUUAAAUGACAAAUGUUGCUUCCUGCCCUGCUCCUGCUGCUGAUUUGGAAAUUCUCAUGUGUUUCAAGUUCCUGUUGUGUGCAUUCCACUGUGCUAGGAACAUUCAGGAUGUCAAGAAGGAGAAGCUGUAAUCUUCAUAUUCAGGUUGUGGGCAGGAAUGCGAAAUGCGGAAACACAGAAAGUUAAAUAACUUAAAACCCUGCAAGGCUUCCUGUCCCACGCACCAUACAAGCUGUAAGAACUCUUAAGCUUUGGUGUCGUAAAGAGUAGGUCACUGUGGCUUAGAAUAUGCUCUUCUAGCUCUUGGUGCUGCUCAUUCGAAUUAAAAAAAUACUUAAUGAUGCCUACAAUGUGCACAGUGCACAGUAAUAAGAUUAAAAGGACCCCUACUCUCAGGAGGCUUAAAAUCAGUCUUUCCUGCUAGAAAACAAGUUCCGUAGGAGAGAGACUUUGUUUUUCUGGUGUAUUGGAAGCAUCUAGAACCAUGCCCAGUAAACAUUUAUUUUAUGAUUGAUUGAGUUCUAAAG
rnacentral:lncRNA from 1 species